rnacentral:tRNA from 1 species
GUCAGGAUGGCUGAGUAGUCUAAGGUGCCAGACUUAAGGCGUAGAUGCCUUCUGUAGUGGGUGGGUGUUCUGGUUUCUGUAUGGAGGUGUGGGUUUGAAUCCCACUUCUCACA